rnacentral:lncRNA from 1 species
UAACUUUUUUGUCUACUCUGGGUCGUCUGAAUAUUUUUCUGAUAUUGACAAUCUUCAUUGUGGUCUCAUCUACAAGAUCUUGGCCAAUCAAUCUUAUAGGACAAAACAUGUGAGAGGUCAGGGUUAUAUUUACGUAGCAUCGACACAUGAAAGACGUUAUGAACUUUGGAUAGUUCUAGAAGAAGUGUUAGUCUAUAGGCGGAUAU